UUUUUUAUUCAGAUAACUUUAUGAAACAAGUAGUUAAUGUGGAUGUGAUAGUUAAACUACUCCAAUAUAAAGUGUUCUGCGUUCGCUUGCAUUAAAAAAUUUGAAAAUAGUUGCUGAUUAAUCAUCAAUCUCAUUUAUAUUUCGCGCGUUAAUUUGUAGCGAAUGAAUUGUAUAAAUACAAAAACUCAACUUGACACACAUCAGUAAAGCUUUUGUUGGAACAAUUGGCAUCGACAAGCACAAAUAUCUGUACUUUCAAUAUGGCUUCAAAUGGAUCAUUUUCAAAAAAUACCGAUCAAAUUGUUGAACCUGCAGGCAGUUCAUCAACAACAUCGCCGCGUACCAGCACAUCUCGAGCGCCACAUCAGCAUCUACCGAGUGUUUUACCCGAUGAGGGCACAUAUCUGAAACCGAAUGCGAAACAAGCAUACUUCAGCGAUGAAAAGGUGCUCAUACCACAAAAUGAUGAGACUGGCUUUAGCUUUCGCAAAUUAUGGGCAUUCACCGGUCCUGGGUUUCUCAUGUCCAUAGCAUACUUGGAUCCGGGCAACAUAGAAUCAGAUUUACAAAGUGGAGCGGCAGCAAAGUAUAAAAUCUUAUGGGUACUUUUAUGGGCCACGGUUUUGGGUUUACUGAUGCAACGUCUGGCGGCGAGGUUGGGUGUUGUGACGGGUCUACAUUUGGCCGAGAUGUGCUAUCGCCAAUACAGAAAGCUGCCGCGCAUCAUUCUUUGGAUAAUGAUUGAGAUUGCAAUUAUCGGCUCGGACAUGCAGGAAGUGAUUGGCACAGCGAUUGCGAUAUAUUUAUUGUCAAAUAAAAUCGUGCCGCUGUGGGGUGGAGUGCUGAUAACAAUUAUCGACACGUUCACAUUUUUAUUUCUAGAUAAAUAUGGUUUGAGGAAACUGGAGUUCUUCUUUGGCUUCUUAAUCACUGUAAUGGCGGUUACUUUCGGCUAUGAGUACGUUGUCUCAGCGCCUAACCAGGGUGAAGUGAUGGAAGGAAUGUUCCUGCCGUGGUGUAAGGAUUGUGAUGCAAAUGUUCUACUGCAGGCUGUAGGCAUAGUUGGUGCUGUGAUAAUGCCCCACAAUUUGUAUCUUCAUUCCGCUUUAGUCAAAUCACGUGAUAUCGAUCGUCGUCAACCGAAAAGAGUUAGCGAGGCAAAUUUCUAUUUCUUCAUUGAAGCGUCGGUGGCGCUAUUUGUGUCAUUCAUUAUAAAUCUAUUCGUCGUAGCUGUCUUCGCACAUGGCAUGUUUGGUAAAACAAAUCAAGAUGUGUUGGAUGUCUGCGUCAAUCAAACAAUGUACGAAGACGCAAAAGCGUCAUUUACGGAUUCGCACAACAACACCGAUCUCAUCGAUGCCGAUCUUUAUAAGGGAGGUCUAUAUUUGGGUUGCACAUUCGGUGCAGCGGCUAUGUACAUUUGGGGUGUUGGCAUUUUGGCCGCUGGUCAGAGCUCCACCAUGACUGGCACAUAUGCGGGACAAUUUUCAAUGGAAGGCUUUCUGAAUUUGCAAUGGCCACGCUGGCGCCGUGUGCUCUUCACGCGUUUAAUCGCCAUCAUACCCACAUUCUGCUUGGCCUUCUUCACACGCAUGGAAGAUUUAACUCAUUUGAAUGAUAUUUUGAACGCAGUGAUGUCGUUGCAGUUGCCUUUUGCCGCCAUACCUACGAUAGCAUUCACAUCGUGUGUGGCUAUAAUGGGUGAAUUCGUAAAUGGCCUGGCGAACAAGGUCAUAUCCAUAAUGUUAACCAUAGUGGUAAUAACGGUAAACAUCUACUUCGUUGUUGUGCAAGUGCAGACGGCGUCUUUGGAAAAUGGUUUAUUAGCAUUAGUUUGUAUAGGAGCCAUUUUAUAUUUGCUAUUCAACUUGUACCUUGUGAUACACAUGAUUGCGUGCAUGGGCAAUCAAAGAUUUGUCAAUAAUAGGUGGGUCCAGAAGUUCGUACUCCCCAGUCAGAAUAGUUUUACGAUAAAGAACGCCAAUUCAACGUACGCAAGUACUGAUGACACGCACGUACUCACUGAAUAUUCACCACACGCAUAUGUAUGUAAAUUUUGAAAAUAAAAAACCAAAACAAAACCAAAAAACAACGACUUCGAUAUUUGCGAUGACACUUAAAAUGCGUUGGACAGCGAACCCGCCGGUGGCCUAAGUCUGCACCCUCUCUAAUAAAAUACACACACACCUGCAUACAUACGCAUACAUUUUUGCUGACACUAAAGAAAGUAAACUGUAACAAAAAUUGGCUAUUUUGCGAAAAUUGUGGGGAAAUUAACAAAAAAUUUAGAACGCUGAAAAUUUAAAUGUGCUCAGAUACGUAAAAAACCCAAGACUCCAUUUAGUUAAAUAAACAUAUGUACAUAUUUUUGUUUUGGCUAAUUAAAUAAAUUUCGCCUCUGCUGCCUGUCUGCGUGCUGGAUGUCGCUGCUGCUGUCAUCGCUAACAACGACUAUGUGCAAUUUCGCUGCUAACAACAAAAAUCAACAACAACAUCCACUACCACCUCAACAACUACAACAUAAUCGUCUCUAACAUCAACAAAUCCACAAAUCAUAAUAAUUAUCCAUAUAUUUAAUGCAAAACUAUUGGGCGCUCAACUGCGCGCCUGUGUCUGCAUGUAUUCUUGUGCUAAAAUAAUAAUUAUAUGGAUACUGGCGUCCAAUGCGCGUCGUCCAUUUGGCGUCCCACAUUUGUCUGCCUUUCAACGACUCACAUAAAUCGCGCCAACAUAUGUACAUGUGUUUGUACGUUAAUGAUAACACGGCGGCGCCUUCGCCUGUCAACGACACAUGUUGCUGCCUUCACCAAACGCCUUUGAUCUUUGCUCGUUAUGCCAAAAUGUGCGCAUACGUGUGUCCAAUAAUGUUGACCAUGUUGGUGUCAUCGUAUUGUUGUUGGCGAUAUUUAUGGACGCGCUUGAACAACUCAUUUUUGCACCAUAUUUCCAAUUUACUUAUGUGUGGCAUUUUAUGCGGCGUAGUGAGCUGACGUUAUACGAUAAUAGUGUCUCGAUAUGUUCCAUCUCGUCGAAAACUCAUUGAACUAAUCAUAAGGAAAACUGCCGCCGAUGGAACGUUGCAGCGCAUAAUUUUUGAAUCGCUCAAAUGAUUUUGCUAUAAAUCCCAAAUAUGUAUAAAUAUUUAAAAGGUUUAGGAUUUAUUUUUUUAUAAGUAAAACUGAGAAGAAACAGCAGAAGCGUGCGCAAGUUACUUAUUUAUGGCAUUAUGUAAUGUUAUGUAAGAACCAAUAGCUUAUGUACGUAUGUAUGUAAUUGUAAAUAAUAAAAUUUUAUUUGAAAAUAUUUAUUUUAUAUUAUUUGCUAUAAUUCAUAUCACAAACGCUUGCACUUAUUUAUUUAUUGAAACUUAUUGCUUAAAAUUAAAUAUUUUUAAAAUAUGUAAAUUUUUACAAAAAAUUUCAACUAUUUUUGCGCUCUUGCCAGCGGACAUAAGUACAUAUUUAUGAGUUUUUCAAUUAUACGAAUUUUCCGACUUCAAAAAUAUUCGCCAGCAUUGUUGUUGUUGCAAAGCUUUUUUUGUUGCUUAGCUGUAUGUUUACUACUUAGCAUUGUAAAAAGCAAAAACUUUGUGCGCUGUAAUUAUAAAGUAUUUAUUUAAUUAAAUAAAUUAUUAUUUGUGUAAGUAAAAUGCCUCUCUGUAGUUAAUAAGCACCUUUUAUUUAUAAUUGUAGUUACAUUUAGCAAAACAAAAAAGAAAUAAUAAAUAUAAAAAUAUAAUCAUUUUGCACUCUUAAUCAAUUUCGUUAGCACCUAAUUGCUAGCCUUGACCCACUGUAUAUUUACAUUAACGCAUACACAAGUAUUUUUCCGACUAUUUUAAAUACAAUUAUUAAUAAAUAAUCGAAGCAGUUUCUGCUUACUUUCGCCGUUGUUGUAGCCUGUGUUUUAUUCACCUAAUAUUUGCUGAAUUCUACUUUAUGCCAACGUGCGCACACCUGUAAUUACAUAUUUAUUUAUACAUAUAUACCUAUAGUAUUUACAUAUACAUGCAUAUAUGUAUGUAUAUGCGCAUUUAUUUUCUUUACUUUUACAGCUUAGCGGUUAAAUUACUAAACAACAAUAAACUACAUAGAUAAUUUACAGUUCUUUAAGAAUAUUUGAAAUCACACAGCAUUUCCGCCUUGCAUGUUCAUUUACAAGUCCAUUCAUAUAUACUAUAUAUACAAACCCUCACACAUAUACUACAUAUAUACAAAUUUGCCUGCUUGUAUGUAAAUGUUGUUUGCAUUUCUUCAUUUGUUUGUCUACUUAAACUACUUUGCAGUGCAUUACCCAAAAACACUACAUCAAAAUAUUAAAUAUAUUUAUACAUAUUGUUUUGAAAAGUUCUGAAUUUUUUUUUGAAACGUAAGUAUCUUUUAGCAAUGCAGCAUUAAGCUGCUGGUACAUGAGAUAUCUUUAUUUUAUUGUGUAUAUUUGUUAUCAUUCAUUUAGAGGCAUAAUAGUUGUGAUUCACUCAAAUUUCACCAUCGUUUGGUUGUUGUUGAUUUAACAGUAUAAAAUAUUUCGCAAAUUCUAUAAGUAGUUUUAGGGAACGCUGCUUAAUUGAAAGUUUUCUGUCGGAUAAAAGUACAUAAUGCAUGGUUUAAGUACAGGCCUGUUUCAGUAGCGCAUGAAGACCCGGUUGUCAUGUGAAUUAUAUUUUUGUAGAAGUUGUAGCUGCGGGAAACAUUCCUCCUAUUACUUUGACGAAUAUUGUCCAGAUGAUAGUCAUUGGCUGGGUAAAAAUGAGCGUCUGUUUGGGUUUUAUAGAACCGACUUUCAUGGGAACGGGUGUUAUAUUGCAACUUCUGGAAAUUAAGUUUAUAGGUCCUGAAGUUUUUUAUGUGGUUGAGGCCGGCAGACUGAUCACACUGAGACAUAAGGGGUUAUAUACAGUUAGAAGGCCGAAAAAAAGCGAAUUUUCCAAAAUAUUUCUGAGAAAAAUUUUAAAUUUAUUAAUCCAAAAAAUUUGUACACAUAUUAUCUUUUAACUGUAUUUCAAGACUUAGUAUUAGUAAAAAUGUUUAUUUUGAAAGGAAAAGCUCCUCAAAAAAGACGUUUUGUGGUGACUGGAUCCUAUGAAUUUAAAAAACCAAACAGAUUUCGUUAAAGUAAUGCUAAAUCUAGUAAUUAAUCGAAGGAAUAAGCGAAUAUUUUUUUUACGAAAUAGCGGUUACUAAAAAAGGUCAAUUUUAAAAAUUUCGGCUUUAUAUUUUUUAUAAAAAGAUAUUUAUCGGUGAGAAAAAAUCUUCAAUUAAAUACUAAAAAAUAUAUUUAAGAAGCUCGUGUUAAAAUUUGAGAAUAAGUGGCUUACCCUUUUCGAGUAAUGUUCGUCACCGGCUUUGAAAACAUCGUUUAGAGAAAAAUGCGUUUAAAGUUUGGAUUGCAAUUCCAAGCACUCUGAAUCGCUUCUUCAAAUUUGCGUGAAGCUUCGGAAAUAUUAACCCGAACGAUAUGAAAUUUUCUGUGUGUAUUCUCAAAUAUACAUAUGUAUGUACAUUAAGAAAAUAAAAUAGAAAAAAUCGUUUUUUGAUAAUUUUAACUGUAUAUAACUCCAUAAUGUCAACUCCGUUGGCACUUGAUUUGUUAUCUUGUUGAUAUACUCAUAUAAAUGUUAUAUUCCAACAGGCAUAUGUUAACAUUACCUCAUCUAAUAUACACUUGAUCCAUGGCGCUGUCAAUCAAGAGGAUUUGAUCAACUCCACUAUGUGAAAAGUUACCCUCUGCUACGAAUUUAGCGCCGCCAUGUUUUUUGUUUUAAAUUAGGUAUUAUAUUAUAUUAAGGGGAAGUCGAAUAAAGUUUCCAGACCUUUUACUCCCAAAUUACAAAUUUUACAUUGAUCUGACACCAAUAUACUUCGCCAUUUGGCAAUGCUUUUUUGCCAAUUGUAUAAGGGCUUUUGCACUGUUCUUUUUUAGUACGGAUAGCAGUACUCUUCGAGGACUUUUUGUUUUGUGUUCACCACGAAGAGUUUCAGUAUUAACUGUGAUCUAGAAAAGUCAAUGCUUAUUAUAACUUUUUUAUUUUGUACAUACAUACAUACAUAUGUAAAUAAUGUAAAUAAUUUCAAAAGUUAUCACUUUCGUUUAAAUUAUUCAUUCUAAGGAACUACUAUCUUCAACUUUGCUCUUAUUCCUUUUAAUCGCCUACAUUGGUUUAGUGCUUCGAUUCCAAUUUUCGAAAAUCAUUCAAACAACUGUUGUCUUUUGACAGACAAUGUCAAACUUCCGCGUCAAUUGUUGCCAUGAUAAAAUUGCUCAUAAAACCCAACAUCUGUUCGGAUGAAUUCUUAACCAUAUUUAGGGAAUAAUAGAAAACCCCACACUAUAAAUGAGAGAUAAGGGUCGGUUAACAAAACUCAGUUUUUAACUGUAAAAACCGUGAGAUACUCUAUAAGAUGAAGUGUCACUUUAGGAUGUUUUCAAGUAUAUAUGUAUCUCUUUGUGGCUUUACUACACUAUGUACUUAGGUAGACUAGUCAACCUCAUGGCAGCAGAUGUACUUUAUGUAGUCUCCGCCAUUAGUCUCAUUAGUUUUAUGCAGAUACAACAACUACAAACCUUUUUUGUAUCAACUUGAUUGUUUCGAUAUACAAAGUCCGAGUAAAAUUGUUUGUAAAUUUUUAAAUUGGCCACGAGUGUUAGCACUCAUUCUCCUUGUUGGCUUCUUUAUUCUCUUUCGGCAACAGUUCCUAAACCAAAGCUUAGCCUAAAGAAUGAAUCCAUAGUGGUGCUUCAAGUUAUGAGGUUUUUAAGUUAUUAAAUAUAUUUGAUAUUCAAAAAGAAAUAAUCUCCAGGCCACUGAACAAUUUGCAAGUUUCCCACCAUUGCAACGUAUAGCACCGGGUAUAAGAGUUUAAGUAUAAAUACCUAAAUAUUUCUAAAGUUAUCCAUAUGGAGCUUUUCUGUGUGGCUAUGAAAAGCUUUGCAAUUAAAAAAUGCAAGAUAUUGCAACGAACAAGCAUUAAUAUUCAAUGAGAGAUGUCGCUUGUGAUUGCAUUGAAGUCAGGUCUUGUCUGCAGGUCGAGUUAAUAUCAGUUAGGCGCGGUUUUUUGAGCGAAGCUUUUUACGUCACUGGCAUAUGUUGUUUACCUAGGUGCACUCUUAAUAUUUUAUAUUUUCUGUUUUUGCUGUGUUAUUGCUUUUAAAGCGAGGGGAAAGCUGCACUUGCAAAACAAAAAUGAGUAAAAAUAAUUUAAAUAAGCUUGCAUUGGUAUAUUCAUUAGGCGCAAUAGUAAUAUUGUUUAAAUAAAAUAGGCCUGUGUUUUUCUAAAAGAGAGAGAGAGAAAGAGAGAGCAAAGUAAUGGCCGAUUUAUAAGAAAAUAUUGUGAAUGUAUUUAAUAAUAUAUUAAGGCCUUCCGACUUCCGAGCGUUGUUUUAAAUUAAAUUUGAAGAAGUGGGAAACUAUAUAUUGUUGAUUUACGUGCUUUAUAUAUUUAAGCAAGGAAUCUUUUAUCGAUUUUGCACGAUUGCAAGAGAACGGGAUUCAUACGUUCGCUAGAUGCUAGAACGGGCUUAUGUGAUACAAAUCCUGAUGUUACUUCAAGAUCAACGCAAUAUAAGUUUUCUAGCACAUUCGUCUAACUGAUGGCAUGUGAUGAUUCUUUCCUUUCAAGAUCUUGAUAUUAUCCAACGAGUUUACACUGUUUUCAGAUUUUUUAUGGCUUAAUAUUUUAUUUCAAAUUUCUGGGGUGAUUAAGUUUCUCAAAUAAAUGUACAAAUUUUUUUACUUAAUAUAGUAUGUACAUAUAUGAAAAAUUCGUUAUUUAUAACAAAUGUAGUUCACAAUUACAAAUUUAACAUACCUGUCUUCAUUUGCAAAGUUUUAUAUACAGCUGUAAGUUAAAUUAUUUUUACGAGUUUUACAUGCAAGUGUUCAACUAACUAGUUAGUCUAAGUUUUUCAAUAUGUUCAGACAUAUGUACAUAUGUACCUAAAACGAAUGUACCAACAUUAGAAGUGUGUGUCUUGGAGUUAAAAUAAUAUUUUCUGGACCCGAAUCAGAAUUAUUUUUGGCACUGGGCAGUAUAAAUUAAACUGAGAACUGUUAGUUUGAAAUCUACAACUCCCAAAGCGGUUGAACAGAAUUUCACCAAAUGGCGAUCAGGAAGUGGAUGUACCAUUCGGCGCAGAGGAGGACGCAUAGCCACUACUGUGUGGCGUUGACUCCGAUUGCAGUGAUGAUAGCGAUAACACUUUAUUCAUAAGCAAAAAUGGAAUGUACAAUCACGGCUGUUCCAGCAUCAUCAGCUAGCAUAGGCGACUUUGUUGUUAUGAUGAUGUUCUUAAUAUUAUUUUUGGAAAAGCUAAGAACAGCACCCACAUACAAGUACUAAUGCUAACAAUACUUAUGCCAAGUAGCAAUCCCACAAACAAAGAAUGACAACCAAAUCAUGUAAAAUUGGUGCAUAUUUUUCUACAACAACAAACCCAGCAUACGGAUUAAUUCAAAAUGUUAAUCACCACAUUUAUGUAUGUGCCAUAUGUGUGAAUGCUUGUACAGUACAGUAAUAAGUGCAACAUGACAGCAGUCUCUUAAUUUGUGAGCGAUUUCCGGGAAUAUGUUCAAAAUAGAAAUAAAUUGAAGGGAAGAAAUUGUUUAA